AUACGUAGGUGGCAAGCGUUGUCCGGAUUUACUGGGUGUAAAGGGCGCGUAGGCGGGUAAGCAAGUCAGAUGUGAAAUACCGGGGCUUAACUCCGGGGCUGCAUUUGAAACUGUUUAUCUUGAGUAUCGGAGAGGCAGGCGGAAUUCCCCGUGUAGCGGGGAAAUGCAUAGAUAUGACGAAGAACACCGAUUGCGUAGGCAGCUGACCAGACCGCAAAUGACGCUCAUGCACGAAAGUGCGGGGAUCGAACAGGAUUAGAUACCCGGUAGUCCGCACAGUAAACGAUGAAUACUUGUUUUCGGCGAUAUAAUGUCGGAGGCAAAGCGAAAGCGAUAAGUAUUCCACCUGGGGAGUACGCCGGCAACGGUGAAACUCAAAUGAAUUGACGGGG
rnacentral:rRNA from 1 species